GGGUAGCUUGCCUUUCUGUAGUGUGGAGGAACGCUGGGCAGGAGCGGCGCCGAGAAGAAUUCUCUGCUUCCCCAGAAGAUGAGACAGGGAGCAACUGGGACCGGGUUCUGACCAAGGAAGGAAGGAUGCUGAGGGCACAGCUGACUCCCCUCCACUGACUCCUUCCCCUGAUCCGUGGCCCUGAUGGGGCAACAGCGCUGGGGACUCCUGCAGGUGACAACGCUCAAGUGUUUGCCCACGUGUCUCCAUCAAUCAGCGUUGAAGUGGAACUGAGUACAUGCUUUUCAGAAGCGGCAUCAUUCUCUACUCAGCCAGAGCAUUGGGCCUGAAAAUAGCUGGAUCCAGCAGAAAACUGGACACUCUAGGAGAUGUCAUGUGGAGAUGUGCCUGGCUGGACUAAUAGUCACGUGGUUAUGAUUUUUAAAAAAAUCUCUCAGAGCUUUCCUAAAAGCAAAU